AGAUCAUCAUGUUGAUGGCCUGCUGCACCCCCUGUCCAAGACAAUCUCCACGGCUAUGAACCAUAUGAUUAGUCUGUCUUGAAUUAUGUUGGCCAAUGAGACAGACACCAUACUGUCCAACUCAAAGAUGAGGUAUAAUCCCUAGCGUUUGGGCCUGUGAUUCUUCAGGACAAGAUCUUGAUGCCAUCCACACUCAGUACAUGAAG